CGCUGGCGGCAGGCCUAACACAUGCAAGUCGAACGGUAACAGGAAACAGCUUGCUGUUUCGCUGACGAGUGGCGGACGGGUGAGUAAUGUCUGGGAAACUGCCUGAUGGAGGGGGAUAACUACUGGAAACGGUAGCUAAUACCGCAUAACGUCGCAAGACCAAAGAGGGGGACCUUCGGGCCUCUUGCCAUCGGAUGUGCCCAGAUGGGAUUAGCUUGUUGGUGGGGUAACGGCUCACCAAGGCGACGAUCCCUAGCUGGUCUGAGAGGAUGACCAGCCACACUGGAACUGAGACACGGUCCAGACUCCUACGGGAGGCAGCAGUGGGGAAUAUUGCACAAUGGGCGCAAGCCUGAUGCAGCCAUGCCGCGUGUAUGAAGAAGGCCUUCGGGUUGUAAAGUACUUUCAGCGGGGAGGAAGGGAGUAAAGUUAAUACCUUUGCUCAUUGACGUUACCCGCAGAAGAAGCACCGGCUAACUCCGUGCCAGCAGCCGCGGUAAUACGGAGGGUGCAAGCGUUAAUCGGAAUUACUGGGCGUAAAGCGCACGCAGGCGGUUUGUUAAGUCAGAUGUGAAAUCCCCGGGCUCAACCUGGGAACUGCAUCUGAUACUGGCAAGCUUGAGUCUCGUAGAGGGGGGUAGAAUUCCCGGUGUAGCGGUGAAAUGCGUAGAGAUCUGGAGGAAUACCGGUGGCGAAGGCGGCCCCCUGGACGAAGACUGACGCUCAGGUGCGAAAGCGUGGGGAGCAAACAGGAUUAGAUACCCUGGUAGUCCACGCCGUAAACGAUGUCGACUUGGAGGUUGUGCCCUUGAGGCGUGGCUUCCGGAGCUAACGCGUUAAGUCGACCGCCUGGGGAGUACGGCCGCAAGGUUAAAACUCAAAUGAAUUGACGGGGGCCCGCACAAGCGGUGGAGCAUGUGGUUUAAUUCGAUGCAACGCGAAGAACCUUACCUGGUCUUGACAUCCACAGAACUUUCCAGAGAUGGAUUGGUGCCUUCGGGAACUGUGAGACAGGUGCUGCAUGGCUGUCGUCAGCUCGUGUUGUGAAAUGUUGGGUUAAGUCCCGCAACGAGCGCAACCCUUAUCCUUUGUUGCCAGCGGUCCGGCCGGGAACUCAAAGGAGACUGCCAGUGAUAAACUGGAGGAAGGUGGGGAUGACGUCAAGUCAUCAUGGCCCUUACGACCAGGGCUACACACGUGCUACAAUGGCGCAUACAAAGAGAAGCGACCUCGCGAGAGCAAGCGGACCUCAUAAAGUGCGUCGUAGUCCGGAUUGGAGUCUGCAACUCGACUCCAUGAAGUCGGAAUCGCUAGUAAUCGUGGAUCAGAAUGCCACGGUGAAUACGUUCCCGGGCCUUGUACACACCGCCCGUCACACCAUGGGAGUGGGUUGCAAAAGAAGUAGGUAGCUUAACCUUCGGGAGGGCGCUUACCACUUUGUGAUU
rnacentral:rRNA from 1 species